CGUGAGUAAGCUGCCCCUGACUCUGGGAUAAGCGCUGGAAACGGCGUCUAAUACUGGAUACGACCUAUCACCGCAUGGUGUGUGGGUGGAAAGAUUUAUCGGUUGGGGAUGGACUCGCGGCCUAUCAGCUUGUUGGUGAGGUAAUGGCUCACCAAGGCGACGACGGGUAGCCGGCCUGAGAGGGUGACCGGCCACACUGGGACUGAGACACGGCCCAGACUCCUACGGGAGGCAGCAGUGGGGAAUAUUGCACAAUGGGCGCAAGCCUGAUGCAGCAACGCCGCGUGAGGGAUGACGGCCUUCGGGUUGUAAACCUCUUUUAGUAGGGAAGAAGCGAAAGUGACGGUACCUGCAGAAAAAGCACCGGCUAACUACGUGCCAGCAGCCGCGGUAAUACGUAGGGUGCAAGCGUUGUCCGGAAUUAUUGGGCGUAAAGAGCUCGUAGGCGGCUUGUCGCGUCUGCUGUGAAAUCCCGGAGCUCAACUCCGGGCCUGCAGUGGGUACGGGCAAGCUAGAGUGCGGUAGGGGAGAUUGGAAUUCCUGGUGUAGCGGUGGAAUGCGCAGAUAUCAGGAGGAACACCGAUGGCGAAGGCAGAUCUCUGGGCCGUAACUGACGCUGAGGAGCGAAAGCAUGGGGAGCGAACAGGAUUAGAUACCCUGGUAGUCCAUGCCGUAAACGUUGGGAACUAGAUGUAGGGCCUGUUCCACGGGUUCUGUGUCGUAGCUAACGCAUUAAGUUCCCCGCCUGGGGAGUACGGCCGCAAGGCUAAAACUCAAAGGAAUUGACGGGGGCCCGCACAAGCGGCGGAGCAUGCGGAUUAAUUCGAUGCAACGCGAAGAACCUUACCAAGGCUUGACAUAUACGAGAACGGGCGAGAGAUCGUCAACUCUUUGGACACUCGUAUACAGGUGGUGCAUGGUUGUCGUCAGCUCGUGUCGUGAGAUGUUCGGUUAAGUCCGGCAACGAGCGCAACCCUCGUCCUAUGUUGCCAGCACGUUAUGGUGGGAACUCAUGGGAUACUGCCGUGGUCAACACGGAGGAAGGUGGGGAUGACGUCAAAUCAUCAUGCCCCUUAUGUCUUGGGCUUCACGCAUGCUACAAUGGCCGAUACAAUGGGCUGCGAUACCGCGAGGUGGAGCGAAUCCCAAAAAGUCGGUCUCAGUUCGGAUUGGGGUCUGCAACUCGACCCCAUGAAGUC
rnacentral:rRNA from 1 species